GUAUGUAUACUUUUGUUGUGAUUACUGCUUUAGAAGUGAUAUGUUACAUCUGGAAUUUCCAACAAAAAACUGUUUUUCCCCGAAUCUCAUCCUAUUAAUCCCCUUUUCAAAAUUAAUUACAUCAAAAUUGCUUUCCCUCCUUCGUGAUUAUGUAAAUCCACAAUCGUGUGUGUUUGCUAGUGUGUAUAUGUGUGUGUGUGUGUGUGUAUGUCUGAGUUUAUGUUUGUGUGUGUGCGUGUGUGUGUGUGUUUAUGUGUGUGUUUAUGUGUGUGUGUGUGUGUGUGUGUGUGUGUGUGUUUAUAUAUGUGUGUAAGUGUGUGUGUGUGUGUAUGUGUGUGUCCUCCCAUGUACUCGCAUGUGCGUGUGUCAGCCUCCGCACCCUGGCUGUCUUUCUUUUCUCGCUCUGAGAGUGUCUGACAGGGUUGAGGCGAAGAAGUCAAAGACAUAAAAAAAACACACCUCACCAACAUGGCCGACUCCUGCCCCCUCGGGGUGAACAGCCACACCACUUCCUCCUCGGGGUCCCUCCAGAAAGGAACGUGAAGACACCCCCCCGCCCCCAAAAGAAACGACACAAGCAACGACUACCAAACAAGAGGGCCUGCUGCUCGCCCAAGGAUAUGACAACAGCCACUACCUCUCAUGGACUCAGGGGGGGGGAGGGAGGACUCAAUCGAUGCAAAACAAACUGACGUCUCCCCUUCACUGUUUACGAACAGCCAGCUGAUUGACUUGAACCUGGAGGGAGAUUUGUACGACGCUUUUUUGACAUGUUUUCCGUCGCGCUUGGUAAGUUUUGGAGGCCAAAUGGCAGUUGGUUCAUUACAGAGCCCGUUGUUUGGUCUUCCCUUUCAGGGAGAAGGACUCAAGGAGUUGUAGUUGUGUAAAGAAGGCCCUUGUGGAUUCUAUGUGGAGUGGGUGGGCAAAAAGAACUACAAUGAUGGACUCCCUUUGCAGAAGACUCCCCAGGUGGCUGCGAUUAGCCUUGAUUGGAAGGCGUGGAUAUCCUCCCAAACGGUGUGCGCUUGUUGACGAGACAAAUGACGAAACAAAGGUUGGAAGUUUUUGGUAAUAAUCCAUUUUAAACAUUAGUGUAAAACGAUAGGGUUUGAAAAGAUGUACCUGUGAGUUCUAGGCUGCUCUGUGACAAUUCUUUGAUUGUAUAUAUCAAAACACUUUUCAUUCUGAAAGUUAUUUGGAUGUUUUCAGUUAAAUGUGAAAUUUUUAUUUGCUUUAGGGUCAGUAAAGGAUUGUCGAAUGGGUCCAAAUCUGUAAAAUACAAAGUACAAUCAAAACCUUUUUUACUUUAUUUAUAAUUACUAAGACAUUGACCUCAGAUUAGACAUUUGUAGUCUUCAGAUCUUAUUUGUAGACCAGGAGAUUUAGAAAUUCAAGAUUAAUUUAGUUAAAUGUGUUUGAAUGUUUCCAUGUCAGUUGGCUGCACAGCUGGGCAGUUAGGUUAGUGUUGAUACAAACCUUUAUUGACAAAACGUCAACACAAACUACCAAUGUUAAGUGGUUAGUCAUUGACCCAAGGGCUAACUAUGCCAACUGAAACCAAAACAUGCGUCCUUUGAAUGUGUUGCAUUCAGACGUCCUAAAGCACUGAAUCUGCUCUCUGAUUGGUCCAGAGUUGCAUAGUUUCAGCACUAUGCAUUGUGAGGCCAGUCAUGGGAAAGGCUUGGCUUCUAUCCUUCUGAAAUAUUUAUCAAAAAAAUGUUUUUACCACACGUAACCUUUAUCAGCAACGACACAAAGUUCUGUUCUCCAUAUUAACAAGACUAUUGGGUAUUUUAUUUUAUCAUAACACUUUGCAUAUCCCUUAUAGACGAUUUUGCCAGUACGUAACAAAGCCAUAUGAAGGGAUGUUUCAUUUUCAAGUAUUUUCGAAGGUCGUCCACACAGGAUUAGUGUCAGGGUAGUCAAGAGGUUUUAGUGCCUUGCCUAAGGGCACCUAUGCAGUGUUUUGGCGUGACUGAUGUCAUGGCACAAUCUGCUGUACAUCUUACUCAUGGACCUACUGUAUCCUGUCAGACCUUCCUGGAGUCUAGCAGUUACCUUACCUUGGUUAUGACUGUGCCCUUGAGCCAGUACUCAAACGAUGGGACAGUGGAACAUAGUUUAGUGAAAUAGCUAAAUACCGACUUCAAAUUCAUAGCUGAUUUGCUCAUGGGCUUCAGACAUCCACCUCUCUGCUAGAGUUCAUGACGGCUAAUAAAACAUUAAACUACAGCCAUAACUGAUUCCAAAUCGUACCAAUGCUGUUACAUGUGUCAGAUGUAUGUUAUGGUAGAACAUAAAGGUCACGUGGCAAGACUUUGUUUGUUUAAACCGCGGGUUACGUCAUUUUGAUUCCCUUUUUUAAAUUGUAAAUAAAUGGUGGCAACCGAAGUAUUUGCACUAUUUUAACAUUGGUUCUGCGAUGUAGCAAUGUGAUCCUAUCAUCACUUGACGACGACGCUAGAAAGGUUCCCAAAUAUUAAGCAAUAUCCACUGAUGUGGCAUUUAUUAAUAGGAAUAUAUCUGCAGGUAAAAUCGAAUUUGUUGACUUUGUAAACCACUAGUUUUUGACUUGUUGAUUUUCUUUUAGAUUUCAGUUAUAUUUGUUUUAUAUGUAUUUUGUUUGCAGAUGUGCUUAUUUGUGAUUUAGUUUGACUUAAACCAUGUUUUAUUUACUUUAUGACAUAUUCUGGUGUACCAGUCGUGUUAAUGAAAUGAAAUAAGCCAUGAACUGAAGCUUGGAUUUUUUUGGAAAAAUGCAUUAUUUAUUAAUAAAGUAUUGGCUUAAGA
ensembl:lncRNA